GGAAUAACCUUGGGAAACCAGGGCUAAUACCGCGUGAGACCACGAUCCGGCAUCGGAUUGAGGUUAAAGCUCCGCAAGGGGCGCCUGAGGAGGAGUCCACGGCCUAUCAGCUUGUUGGCGGGGUAACGGCCCACCAAGGCGACGACGGGUAGUCGGUCUGAAAGGACGACCGACCACAAUGGCACUGAGACACGGGCCAUACUCCUACGGGAGGCAGCAGUGGGGAAUUUUGCGCAAUGGGGGAAACCCUGACGCAGCGAUGCCGCGUGGAGGACGAAGGUCUUCGGAUUGUAAACUCCUUUUGCGGGGGAAAAAUGUCAGCGUGAAGAACGUUGAAUGAUGGUACUCCGCGAAUAAGCCACGGCUAACUUCGUGCCAGCAGCCGCGGUAAGACGAAGGUGGCGAGCGUUACUCGGAAUUACUAGGCGUAAAGCGAGAGCAGGCGGUUUGGUAAGUCCGUCGUGAAAGCUCCCGGCUCAACCGGGAGAUGUCGAUGGAUACUGCCAGACUUGAAUACGGGAGGGGUGGCUGGAAUUCCUGGUGUAGCGGUGAAAUGCGUAGAUAUCAGGAGGAACACCAAAGGCGAAGGCAGGCCACUGGACCGUUAUUGACGCUCAUUCUCGAAAGCCGGGGGAUCAAACAGGAUUAGAUACCCCGGUAGUCCCGGCUGUAAACGAUGUUCACUAGGUGUGGGGGGUAUCGACCCCUUCCGCGCCGACGCUAACGCAUUAAGUGAACCGCCUGGGGAGUACGGCCGCAAGGUUGAAACUCAAAGGAAUUGACGGGGGCCCGCACAAGCGGUGGAUCAUGUGGUUUAAUUCGACGCAACGCGAAGAACCUUACCUGGGCUUGAACCACCGGUAGUAGAAUCCCGGAAACGGGAGACGAACCGUUAAGUCGGUUGCCGGCAGAGGUGCUGCAUGGCUGUCGUCAGCUCGUGUCGUGAGAUGUUGGGUUAAGUCCCGCAACGAGCGCAACCCUUAUCCUAUGUUGCCACCCCCGCAAGGGGCGCACUCUUAGGAGACUGCCUCGGAUAACGGGGAGGAAGGUGGGGACGACGUCAAGUCAUCAUGGCCCUUAUGUCCAGGGCUACACACGUGAUACAAUGGCCGGUACAGAGGGAUGCAAGACCGCAAGGUGG
rnacentral:rRNA from 1 species